AAGACUAUACUUCACAGGAUCAUUUCUGUAGUAUAUGUCUUCUCUUCUUCUCUAAACUUUGGAGUGGAUUUCAGCCGUGAUGAUGAGACAUAGUGCUGUUCCUGGAGCGUGAGAACAUCUUGAGUGUGCUCUUCGGAGUGCAAGCAAGAUAUCGAUGAUCGUUUCUAUUCAAGGGAACAGCACAGUCUGAGCGGU